rnacentral:rRNA from 1 species
AAUCAACGCUGGCGGCGUGCCUCAGACAUGCAAGUCGAACGAUUAAAGCUCUCUUCGGAGAGUGUAUAGAGUGGCGCACGGGUGAGUAACACGUAAGUAAUCUACCUUUGAGUGGGGAAUAACAGUUGGAAACGGCUGCUAAUACCGCAUAAUGCAGCGGCAUCGCAAGAUGACAGUUGUUAAAGGAGCAAUCCGCUUAAAGAGGAGCUUGCGGCAGAUUAGCUUGUUGGUAAGGUAACGGCUUACCAAGGCUACGAUCUGUAUCCGGUCUAAGAGGACGGUCGGACACACUGACACUGAAUAACGGGUCAGACUCCUACGGGAGGCAGCAGUCGGGAAUUUUGGGUCAAUGGGCGAAAGCCUGACCCAGCAACGCCGCGUGAAGGAUGAAGUAUUUCGGUAUGUAAACUUCGAAAGAAUAGGAAGAAUAAGCGUGGGCUAAUACCCCUCAUGAUGACGGUACCAUUUGUAAGCUCCGGCUAACUUCGUGCCAGC